CAAAGAAGGUAAUAAUCCUGUAGUCGAAAAUGUUGUCUCUCUUGAGUGGAUCCUGAGUACGACGGAGCACGUGAAAUUCCGUCGGAAUCUGGGAGGACCAUCUCCUAAGGCUAAAUACUCUCUAGUGACCGAUAGUGAACCAGUACCGUGAGGGAAAGGUGAAAAGCACCCCGGAAGGGGAGUGAAAUAGAACCUGAAACCGUGUGCUUACAAGUAGUCAGAGCCCGUUAAUGGGUGAUGGCGUGCCUUUUGUAGAAUGAACCGGCGAGUUACGAUUUGAUGCAAGGUUAAGCAGUAAAUGUGGAGCCGUAGCGAAAGCGAGUCUGAAUAGGGCGUUUAGUAUUUGGUCGUAGACCCGAAACCAGGUGAUCUACCCUUGGUCAGGUUGAAGUUCAGGUAACACUGAAUGGAGGACCGAACCGACUUACGUUGAAAAGUGAGCGGAUGAACUGAGGGUAGCGGAGAAAUUCCAAUCGAACCUGGAGAUAGCUGGUUCUCUCCGAAAUAGCUUUAGGGCUAGCCUCAAGUGAUGAUUAUUGGAGGUAGAGCACUGUUUGGACGAGGGGCCCCUCUCGGGUUACCGAAUUCAGACAAACUCCGAAUGCCAAUUAAUUUAACUUGGGAGUCAGAACAUGGGUGAUAAGGUCCGUGUUCGAAAGGGAAACAGCCCAGACCACCAGCUAAGGUCCCAAAAUAUAUGUUAAGUGGAAAAGGAUGUGGCGUUGCCCAGACAACUAGGAUGUUGGCUUAGAAGCAGCCAUCAUUUAAAGAGUGCGUAAUAGCUCACUAGUCGAGUGACACUGCGCCGAAAAUGUACCGGGGCUAAACAUAUUACCGAAGCUGUGGAUUGUCCUUUGGACAAUGGUAGGAGAGCGUUCUAAGGGCGUUGAAGCAUGAUCGUAAGGACAUGUGGAGCGCUUAGAAGUGAGAAUGCCGGUGUGAGUAGCGAAAGACGGGUGAGAAUCCCGUCCACCGAUUGACUAAGGUUUCCAGAGGAAGGCUCGUCCGCUCUGGGUUAGUCGGGUCCUAAGCUGAGGCCGACAGGCGUAGGCGAUGGAUAACAGGUUGAUAUUCCUGUACCACCUAUAAUCGUUUUAAUCGAUGGGGGGACGCAGUAGGAUAGGCGAAGCGUGCGAUUGGAUUGCACGUCUAAGCAGUAAGGCUGAGUAUUAGGCAAAUCCGGUACUCGUUAAGGCUGAGCUGUGAUGGGGAGAAGACAUUGUGUCUUCGAGUCGUUGAUUUCACACUGCCGAGAAAAGCCUCUAGAUAGAAAAUAGGUGCCCGUACCGCAAACCGACACAGGUAGUCAAGAUGAGAAUUCUAAGGUGAGCGAGCGAACUCUCGUUAAGGAACUCGGCAAAAUGACCCCGUAACUUCGGGAGAAGGGGUGCUCUUUAGGGUUAACGCCCAGAAGAGCCGCAGUGAAUAGGCCCAAGCGACUGUUUAUCAAAAACACAGGUCUCUGCUAAACCGUAAGGUGAUGUAUAGGGGCUGACGCCUGCCCGGUGCUGGAAGGUUAAGAGGAGUGGUUAGCUUCUGCGAAGCUACGAAUCGAAGCCCCAGUAAACGGCGGCCGUAACUAUAACGGUCCUAAGGUAGCGAAAUUCCUUGUCGGGUAAGUUCCGACCCGCACGAAAGGCGUAACGAUUUGGGCACUGUCUCAACGAGAGACUCGGUGAAAUCAUAGUACCUGUGAAGAUGCAGGUUACCCGCGACAGGACGGAAAGACCCCGUGGAGCUUUACUGUAGCCUGAUAUUGAAAUUCGGCACAGCUUGUACAGGAUAGGUAGGAGCCUUUGAAACGUGAGCGCUAGCUUACGUGGAGGCGCUGGUGGGAUACUACCCUAGCUGUGUUGGCUUUCUAACCCGCACCACUUAUCGUGGUGGGAGACAGUGUCAGGCGGGCAGUUUGACUGGGGCGGUCGCCUCCUAAAAGGUAACGGAGGCGCUCAAAGGUUCCCUCAGAAUGGUUGGAAAUCAUUCAUAGAGUGUAAAGGCAUAAGGGAGCUUGACUGCGAGACCUACAAGUCGAGCAGGGUCGAAAGACGGACUUAGUGAUCCGGUGGUUCCGCAUGGAAGGGCCAUCGCUCAACGGAUAAAAGCUACCCCGGGGAUAACAGGCUUAUCUCCCCCAAGAGUUCACAUCGACGGGGAGGUUUGGCACCUCGAUGUCGGCUCAUCGCAUCCUGGGGCUGUAGUCGGUCCCAAGGGUUGGGCUGUUCGCCCAUUAAAGCGGUACGCGAGCUGGGUUCAGAACGUCGUGAGACAGUUCGGUCCCUAUCCGUCGUGGGCGUAGGAAAUUUGAGAGGAGCUGUCCUUAGUACGAGAGGACCGGGAUGGACAUACCUCUGGUGUACCAGUUGUCGUGCCAACGGCAUAGCUGGGUAGCUAUGUGUGGACGGGAUAAGUGCUGAAAG
rnacentral:rRNA from 1 species